rnacentral:tRNA from 1 species
GAGAAUAGCUCAGCUGGUUAGAGCAUCCGCCUGAUAAGCGGAAGGUCGAUGGUUCGAGUCCAUUUUUUCCC